AUUGAACGCUGGCGGCAGGCCUAACACAUGCAAGUCGAGCGGAGCGGCGGACGGGCGAGUAAUGCCUAGGAAUCUGCCUGGUAGUGGGGGAUAAGGUCCGGAAAGGGACGCUAAUACCGCAUCCUAUCAGAUGAGCCUAGGUCGGAUUAGCUCGUUGGUGGGGUAAAGGCAUACCAAGGCGACGAUCCGUAACUGGUCUGAGAGGGUGAUCAGCCACACUGGAACUGAGACACGGUCCAGACUCCUACGGGAGGCAGCAGUGGGGAAUAUUGGACAAUGGGCGAAAGCCUGACCCAGCCAUGCCGCGUGUGUGAAGAAGGUCUUCGGAUUGUAAAGCACUUUAAGUUGGGAGGCGGUACCUACAGAAUAAGCACCGGCUAACUUCGUGCCAGCAGCCGCGGUAAUAC
rnacentral:rRNA from 1 species